UCCGGGUUGGACCCGGCGGUCCCGCCAGACAUCGUAACUGGCAGCGAGGGUUGCGCUCGUUGCGGGACUUAACCCAACACCUCACGACACGAGCUGACGACAGCCAUGCAGCACCUGUGCAUCGGCCCCGAAGGGAGGGUGUGUUUCCACACCUAUCCAAUGCAUGUCAAGUCUGGGUAAGGUUCUUCGCGUUGCGCCGAAUUAAACCACAUGCUCCACCGCUUGUGCGGGCCCCCGUCAAUUCCUUUGAGUUUCAACCUUGCGGCCGUACUCCCCAGGCGGAUCACUUAAUGCGUUAGCUGCGGCACUGGAGGGGUCGAUGCCUCCAACACCUAGUGAUCACCGUUUACGGUUAGGACUA
rnacentral:misc_RNA from 1 species